UACGGAGGGUGCAAGCGUUAUCCGGAUUCACUGGGUUUAAAGGGUGCGUAGGUGGUUUUGUAAGUCAGUGGUGAAAGCCCGGAGCUCAACUCCGGAACUGCCAUUGAUACUGCUUAACUUGAAUCAACUUGAGGUGGAUGGAAUAUUACAUGUAGCGGUGAAAUGCUUAGAUAUGUAAUAGAACACCGAUUGCGAAGGCAGCUCGCUAAAUUGUAACUGACGCUGAGGCACGAAAGCGUGGGGAUCAAACAGG
rnacentral:rRNA from 1 species